rnacentral:rRNA from 1 species
UUAAAUUGAAGAGUUUGAUCAUGGCUCAGAUUGAACGCUGGCGGCAGGCCUAACACAUGCAAGUCGAACGGUAACAGGAAGAAGCUUGCUUCUUUGCUGACGAGUGGCGGACGGGUGAGUAAUGUCUGGGAAACUGCCUGAUGGAGGGGGAUAACUACUGGAAACGGUAGCUAAUACCGCAUAACGUCGCAAGACCAAAGAGGGGGACCUUCGGGCCUCUUGCCAUCGGAUGUGCCCAGAUGGGAUUAGCUUGUUGGUGGGGUAACGGCUCACCAAGGCGACGAUCCCUAGCUGGUCUGAGAGGAUGACCAGCCACACUGGAACUGAGACACGGUCCAGACUCCUACGGGAGGCAGCAGUGGGGAAUAUUGCACAAUGGGCGCAAGCCUGAUGCAGCCAUGCCGCGUGUAUGAAGAAGGCCUUCGGGUUGUAAAGUACUUUCAGCGGGGAGGAAGGGAGUAAAGUUAAUACCUUUGCUCAUUGACGUUACCCGCAGAAGAAGCACCGGCUAACUCCGUGCCAGCAGCCGCGGUAAUACGGAGGGUGCAAGCGUUAAUCGGAAUUACUGGGCGUAAAGCGCACGCAGGCGGUUUGUUAAGUCAGAUGUGAAAUCCCCGGGCUCAACCUGGGAACUGCAUCUGAUACUGGCAAGCUUGAGUCUCGUAGAGGGGGGUAGAAUUCCAGGUGUAGCGGUGAAAUGCGUAGAGAUCUGGAGGAAUACCGGUGGCGAAGGCGGCCCCCUGGACGAAGACUGACGCUCAGGUGCGAAAGCGUGGGGAGCAAACAGGAUUAGAUACCCUGGUAGUCCACGCCGUAAACGAUGUCGACUUGGAGGUUGUGCCCUUGAGGCGUGGCUUCCGGAGCUAACGCGUUAAGUCGACCGCCUGGGGAGUACGGCCGCAAGGUUAAAACUCAAAUGAAUUGACGGGGGCCCGCACAAGCGGUGGAGCAUGUGGUUUAAUUCGAUGCAACGCGAAGAACCUUACCUGGUCUUGACAUCCACGGAAGUUUUCAGAGAUGAAAAUGUGCCUUCGGGAACCGUGAGACAGGUGCUGCAUGGCUGUCGUCAGCUCGUGUUGUGAAAUGUUGGGUUAAGUCCCGCAACGAGCGCAACCCUUAUCCUUUGUUGCCAGCGGUCCGGCCGGGAACUCAAAGGAGACUGCCAGUGAUAAACUGGAGGAAGGUGGGGAUGACGUCAAGUCAUCAUGGCCCUUACGACCAGGGCUACACACGUGCUACAAUGGCGCAUACAAAGAGAAGCGACCUCGCGAGAGCAAGCGGACCUCAUAAAGUGCGUCGUAGUCCGGAUUGGAGUCUGCAACUCGACUCCAUGAAGUCGGAAUCGCUAGUAAUCGUGGAUCAGAAUGCCACGGUGAAUACGUUCCCGGGCCUUGUACACACCGCCCGUCACACCAUGGGAGUGGGUUGCAAAAGAAGUAGGUAGCUUAACCUUCAGGAGGGCGCUUACCACUUUGUGAUUCAUGACUGGGGUGAAGUCGUAACAAGGUAACCGUAGGGGAACCUGCGGUUGGAUCACCUCCUUACCUUAAAGAAGC